rnacentral:tRNA from 1 species
GAGAGUGUAGCUCAGUGGUAGAGCACGUGCUUAGCAUCCUGGGUUCAAUCCCCAGUACCUCCA